rnacentral:rRNA from 1 species
CAGCAGCCGCCGCGGGAAUACAGAGGGUGCAAGCGUUAAUCGGAAUUACUGGGCGUAAAGCGCGCGUAGGUGGUUUGUUAAGUUGGAUGUGAAAGCCCCGGGCUCAACCUGGGAACUGCAUCCAAAACUGGCAAGCUAGAGUACGGUAGAGGGUGGUGGAAUUUCCUGUGUAGCGGUGAAAUGCGUAGAUAUAGGAAGGAACACCAGUGGCGAAGGCGACCACCUGGACUGAUACUGACACUGAGGUGCGAAAGCGUGGGGAGCAAACAGGAUUAGAUACCCCCGUAGUCCCUGUCUCUUAUAC